CAUCUGGGUUCUCCACUCAGCUGUAGAGCCCUUCUAUUGAGUUUUUAAUUUGGUUAUUAUAAUUUCUAUUUGGCUCUUGCUUACACCUUCUAUUUCUCUGUUGAGCUGCUCUAUUUUAUUCAUUAUCAGAGUGCUUAUAAUCAAUGAGGCAUUUUUAUGAUGUUCGCUUCACGUCUGUGAGAAUUCUAUUACUGAUGGUAUCUUGAUAUUGUCCUCUAUUGAUUGUUUCAUUCAGUUUGAGAUCUACCUGGUUCUUGAUAUAAUGAGUAAUUUGUUACUGCAACCUGGAACUUUGUGGUAUUAUAUUAUGAGAUUUUGGUACUUAUUUAAAUUUUCUGUUUUAGGUGGCUUCAUCUCACACUACCCCAGAAGUGGAAGGGAGGGUGCUUCCUCUCUGCUGCCAGGUGGGAAGAGCAGGCACGUGUCACUGAACCUUCCGAGUUGGCCCCAAGGAGGGCCACCUGCCUGGUGUUGUUUGAGUCAACAGAACGAGACUGAGUCAGAUUCGGAAGCAAAGGAAAGCUUUAUUCCCUGAUCAGAGAACAGAGAGGUGUGAGGUCCUGGUCCAGAGCACAGGCUCUCCUGUAGGCUGUGGGCAGGGCUGCUUUAUAGGGUCCCGGUCAGCAAUGAGGGGGUAGGGCUCUUUGCACACAGCUCUGAGCCCAGGUGUAAGUGCAGCCACUACCCAUCAGGAACCCUGGUCUGAAGUGCCAGGUUCGAGGUCUCUGCCCGUGGCUGCCUGUGAGCCAGCGACACUAGACUCAGCACUGAGGAAAAGAAGAAAAGGAGGGGUGAGGCUACAUAUGCGUCUCCCGUCUCCUAAGGUGGGCUUCCCUGACCUUCUGUUGAGAAUGCUGCCAGGGAAUCUUCCCAAUCCACAAAUCAAACCCAUAUCUCCUACACUGAAGGCAUAUGCUUUACCACUGAGCCAUCUGAGAAGCCCCCUUAUAUGUGAGAGUUGGACUGUGAAGAAGGCUGAGCACUGAAGAAUUGAUGCUUUUGAACUGUGGUGUUGGAGAAGACUCUUGAGAGUCCCUUGGACUGCAAGGAGAUCCAACCAGUCCAUUCUGAAGGAGAUCAGCCCUGAGUGUUCUUUGGAAGGAAUGAUGCUAAAGCUGAAACUCCAGUACUUUGGCCACCUCAUGUGAAGAGUUGACUAAUUGGAAAAGACUCUGAUGCUGGGAGGGAUUGGGGGCAGGAGGAAAAGGGGACAACAGAAGAUGAGAUGGCUGGAUGGCAUCACUGACUCGAUGGAUGUGAGUCUGAGUGAACUCUGGGAGUUGGUGAUGGACAGGGAGGCCUGGUGUGCUGUGAUUCAUGGGGUCGCAAAGAGUCGGACACGACUGAGCGACUGAACUGAACUGAACCUUCAUUUUUACCGAGACUUUUUAGUUAAAAUAGGUGAAGCACUCUCUACUUGGUUUAUGUGACAUUUACCAGUGCUCAUUUAUUUAUGUGAAUUCAAAUUACCCUCUGGGGUCACUGCUUUUGGUGAAAAAAUUAUACUGUGUGCACCAAAAACAAACUCAAUUUUUUUUUUUGAGUUACUUGAAAAUUUUUAUUUGGGCCAAGAUUUAUAUCCUCCGACCAUCCUAAGUUUUUGUUUAUUGGGUAAUGUCUUUGUUUUGUCUUCUUUUUUUUUGUUUGUUUUUUAAAAGAUAGCUUUGCUAUAUCAGAUUCUUGAUUGACAGGUUUUUUUUUUUUCCUUUGGAUUAUGUUAUCCCAUUGCUUUUUGCCCUCUACUGUUGCUGAUGAGAAGUCAAUUGCUAAUCUUUAUUGAAUUUCUUACAAAUGGAAAGUCUUUUUUCUCUUGCCACCUCAAGAUCUUCACCUUGUAUUUGCCUUUCAGCCUUUUUUGUCAAACUGUCACAUGUCUAUCUGUGGAUUUCUUUGUGGAAUUUGUGGAGCUUUCUGAAUGUGUAGAUUAGUGUUUUCAAUAAAUUAGGAAUGAUUUCAACCAUUGUAUCUUCACAUAUGUUUUCUUUCUCCUUUUCUGAUAUUUCUCUUACAUGUAUCUUGAUGUACUUAAUGGCACUCCACAUUUCUUGAGGCUCUGUUCAUUUUUCUUCAUUCUUUUUUUCUUUGUUCUUUGGCUUGCAAAGUCUCUGUCAACUUCAGGUUUGUAAAUUGUUCUGCAAGAAUUUGGGCCUCUCUAGUUAAUUUUUCAUUUCAAUUGUACUUUUUAAGUCCAGAAUUUUUAUUUGGUUCUUUAAAAGUUUGUAUGUCUUUAUUGGUACGAGCUAUUUGAUGUAACAUUGUCAGCAUACUUUCCUUUAUUUUGUAAACCAUGGUUUCCACUAGUUAUUUGAACAUACUGUGUUUAUAACUACUUGAAGUCUCCAUUAACUGUUAAAUCCAACAUCUGGUCACUCUCACAGGCAAUUUGUGUUGUCGGCUUCCCCCACCCACCCCCCCACCCCCCCCCCCGAUGUGUAAGUCAUGUUUUUCUGUUUCUUUGUAUGUCUCAUACAUUUUGUUGGAAACUGGACAUUUUAGAUAGUUUAGGAUAGAAAUUCUGGGUUGUGGUCCCCGCUUCCAUUUACUUGAUUGCUUAAGUGAAAGUGAAGUGAAGUCACUCAGUCGUGUCCGACUCUUUGCGACCCCGUGGCCUGUAGCCCACCAGGCUCCUCCAUCCAUGGAAUUCUCCAGGCAAGAAUACUGGAGUGGGUUGCCAUUUCCUUCUCCAUUGCUUGUUUAGUGACUUUUAUUUCAGUGAAGUCUAUUUUACACAAACACAUGGAGUGUUAAACCUUUGAUGUUGCUUCUCAACCAAUGGUGUGCAGCCUUGAGUGUGCCCAGCUGCCCUGGAUGACAGUGCAUUGGCAGGGCUUCUUUUUGGCGGUCUUUUCCCCUGAUUGCACCUAGCUGUUAAGCUCCACAACUUGUAGGAUAAUUGCUCUAUUGUUUUCAACAAUGCUCUAAGGCAUCGGUUGUUCCAGAGACUAAACCAAAUAGUUCCUGAGAUCAGUGUUUGAUAUUUGUUAUUAUCCUAGGAGAGCUACUCCCAGCGCCCCGCUCCCACCCCAAGUUCUCUACAGCAAACUAAGAGUCUUCAGUUUAGCCUCUGUCUUCAACAAAUCUACCAAUAUCCUCUUAUUUCUCACCACAAUCUCCAGUUUUUGAAUGCAUCAUUACGCGCGAACUUCUCCAUGUUCUUUGGCAAACAAAGUCAGUUUCUCUGGGAAGAGGCUAGGAGCUAUCUGUUUAUAGCCUGCUUCCUCCUCCAGAAAAAUCUCUGAGCCAGGGUUCUGGAACUGGGAAGUGGUAUAUGGACAGUGA
ensembl:lncRNA